CAGAAAAUAGUUUAUAAAAAUAUUAAUUUUGGAGAUUAAAGAUAAUUGUUUAAUUUUUUCUGA
rnacentral:tRNA from 1 species